rnacentral:rRNA from 1 species
AUUGAACGCUGGCGGCAGGCCUAACACAUGCAAGUCGAACGGUAACAGGAAGAAGCUUGCUUCUUUGCUGACGAGUGGCGGACGGGUGAGUAAUGCCUGGGAAACUGCCUGAUGGAGGGGGAUAACUACUGGAAACGGUAGCUAAUACCGCAUAACGUCGCAAGACCAAAAAGGGGGACCUUCGGGCCUCUUGCCAUCGGAUGUGCCCAGAUGGGAUUAGCUAGUAGGUGGGGUAACGGCUCACCUAGGCGACGAUCCCUAGCUGGUCUGAGAGGAUGACCAGCCACACUGGAACUGAGGACACGGUCCAGACUCCGUACGGGAGGCAGCAGUGGGGAAUAUUGCACAAUGGGCGCAAGCCUGAUGCAGCCAUGCCGCGUGUAUGAAGAAGG